rnacentral:rRNA from 1 species
GGGAGGAAAAGAAACUAACAAGGAUUUUCUUAGUAGCGGCGAGCGAAAAGAAAAUAGUUCAGCACUAAGUCACUUUGUCUUUAUGGCAAAUGUGAGAUGCAGUGUAUGGAAUGUCAAAUUUCUAGUAUGAGAAAUUAACGAUUUAAGUCCUUCUUAAAUGAGGCCAUUUACCCAUAGAGGGUGCCAGGCCCGUAUAACGUUAAUGAUUACUAGAUGGCAUUUCCAAAGAGUCGUGUUGCUUGAUAGUGCAGCACUAAGUGGGUGGUAAACUCCAUCUAAAACUAAAUAUAACCAUGAGACCGAUAGUAAACAAGUACCGUGAGGGAAAGUUGAAAAGAACUCUGAAUAGAGAGUUAAAUAGUACGUGAAACUGCUUAGAGGUUAAGCCCGAUGAACCUGAAUAUCCAUUAUGGAAAAUUCAUCAUUAUGAUUUUAAUAUUAAUAAUAUUAUAAUAAUGGUGUGCAUUUUUUCUAUAAAGGACAUUGUAAUCUAUUAACAUAAAUUAAUUUAUCAUAAGAUCGUUUACAAAAGUUUAUUUGAAUUAUUUUGCUUGCAAUUUAACAGAGAAUAAAUGUAUUCGAUUUGAUAAAGUGUUGAUAGAUUUAUAUUAUAUAGUGCUUAAAUAUUUAUAUUUUAUAAUAGCAUAUUAAUCAUUGAUUUUUAUGUUUAUUAUAUGCACUUAUAUGAUUAACAAUGCGAAAGAUUCAGGAUACCUUCGGGACCCGUCUUGAAACACGGACCAAGGAGUCUAACAUAUUUGCAAGUUAUUGGGAAUAAAAACCUAAUAGCGAAAUUAACAUAACUUAUUAAUGGGAUUAGUUUUUAGCCUAUUUAUAGUCUAUUAAUUCAAUCCCGGGGCGUUCUAUACAGUUAUGUAUAAUAGUAUUUAUACUAUUUAUACCUCUAACUAGAGCGUACCUUGAGCAUAUAUGCUGUGACCCGAAAGAUGGUGAACUAUACUUGAUCAGGUUGAAGUCAGGGGAAACCCUGAUGGAAGACCGAAACAG